AUUUCUGCUUGCUUGAGAUGACGAGCGGCGGACGGGUGAGUAAUACUUAGGAAUCUACCUAGUAGUGGGGGAUAGCUCGGGGAAACUCGAAUUAAUACCGCAUACGACCUACGGGAGAAAGGGGGCAACUUGUUGCUCUCGCUAUUAGAUGAGCCUAAGUCGGAUUAGCUAGAUGGUGGGGUAAAGGCCUACCAUGGCGACGAUCUGUAGCUGGUCUGAGAGGAUGAUCAGCCACACCGGGACUGAGACACGGCCCGGACUCCUACGGGAGGCAGCAGUGGGGAAUAUUGGACAAUGGGGGAAACCCUGAUCCAGCCAUGCCGCGUGUGUGAAGAAGGCCUUUUGGUUGUAAAGCACUUUAAGCAGUGAAGAAGACUCUUCGGUUAAUACCCGGAGACGAUGACAUUAGCUGCAGAAUAAGCACCGGCUAACUCUGUGCCAGCAGCCGCGGUAAUACAGAGGGUGCAAGCGUUAAUCGGAAUUACUGGGCGUAAAGCGAGCGUAGGUGGCUUGAUAAGUCAGAUGUGAAAUCCCCGGGCUUAACCUGGGAACUGCAUCUGAUACUGUCAGGCUAGAGUAGGUGAGAGGAAGGUAGAAUUCCAGGUGUAGCGGUGAAAUGCGUAGAGAUCUGGAGGAAUACCGAUGGCGAAGGCAGCCUUCUGGCAUCAUACUGACACUGAGGCUCGAAAGCGUGGGUAGCAAACAGGAUUAGAUACCCUGGUAGUCCACGCCGUAAACGAUGUCUACUAGUCGUUGGGUCCCUUGAGGACUUAGUGACGCAGCUAACGCAAUAAGUAGACCGCCUGGGGAGUACGGCCGCAAGGUUAAAACUCAAAUGAAUUGACGGGGGCCCGCACAAGCGGUGGAGCAUGUGGUUUAAUUCGAUGCAACGCGAAGAACCUUACCUGGUCUUGACAUAUCUAGAAUCCUGCAGAGAUGCGGGAGUGCCUUCGGGAAUUAGAAUACAGGGGCUGCAUGGCUGUCGUCAGCUCGUGUCCUUGAGAUGUUGGGUUAAGUCCCCCAACUAGGCCCACCCCUUGGCCUUAAGCUACCAGCCGGGUUAAGCCCGGGAACCUUAAAGGAACCUGCCAUGGACAAACUGGGAGGAAGGCGGGGGACAACGUCAAGGNAUCUCGGCCCUUAAAACCAGGGCUAACACACGGCUUCACAUUGGGAGGUAACAGAGGGGCUCUCCACACGCGAUUUGGAAUGGGAAUUCUAAAAAGCUUUUCUAGAUCUCAAAUAUGGCUUCGUACCUCUUAUCCCUUGAAAUUG
rnacentral:rRNA from 1 species